rnacentral:siRNA from 1 species
UUUGAGCCUUAACAUACAUCC